GAAGGUAUAACUCAGUGGUAGAGUGUGUGCUUUGUAUGACAACAUCCUGGGUUCAACGCCCAGUAACUUUA
rnacentral:tRNA from 1 species